rnacentral:rRNA from 1 species
UACCAGCUCUCCGAGUGGUAGGGAUGAUUAUUGGGCUUAAAGCGUCCGUAGCCGGCUUAGCAAGUUUCCUGUUAAAUUCAGCGACCUAAUCGUUGAGCCGCGGGAAAUACUACUAGGCUAGGAGGCGGGAGAGGUCGACGGUACUUCUGGGGCAGGGGUGAAAUCCUAUAAUCCCGGGAGGACCACCAGUGGCGAAGGCUGUCGACUAGAACGCGCUCGACGGUGAGGGACGAAAGCUGGGGGAGCGAACCGGAUUAGAUACCCGGGUAGUCCCAGCUGUAAACGAUGCGGGCUAGGUGUUGGGGUGGCUACGUGCCACUUCAGUGCCGCAGGGAAGCCAUUAAGCCCGCCGCCUGGGGAGUACGGCCGCAAGGCUGAAACUUAAAGGAAUUGGCGGGGAGCACCACAAGGCGUGAAGCUUGCGGUUC